rnacentral:rRNA from 1 species
GUAGGGUGCGAGCGUUAAUCGGAAUUACUGGGCGUAAAGCGUGCGCAGGUGGUUUUGUAAGUCAGAUGUGAAAUCCCCGGGCUUAACCUGGGAACUGCGUUUGAAACUGCAAGGCUAGAGUGUGGCAGAGGGGGGUGGAAUUCCGCGUGUAGCAGUGAAAUGCGUAGAGAUGUGGAGGAACACCGAUGGCGAAGGCAGCCCCCUGGGUCAACACUGACGCUCAGGCACGAAAGCAUGGGGGAGCAAACAGGAUUAGAUACCCUGGUAGUCCAUGCCCUAAACGAUGUCAACUAGUUGUCGGGUCUUAACGGGCUUGGUAACGUAGCUAACGCGUGAAGUUGACCGCCUGGGGGAUACGAUCGCAAGAUUA